rnacentral:rRNA from 1 species
UAACACGUAGGGGGCGAGCGUUGUCCGGAUUUAUUGGGCGUAAAGAGCUCGUAGGCGGCUUGGUAAGUCAGGUGUGAAACCUCCAGGCUCAACCUGGAGACGCCACUUGAUACUGCCAUAGCUAGAGUCCGGUAGGGGAGCGUGGAAUUUCUGGUGUAGCGGUGAAAUGCGCAGAUAUCAGAAGGAACACCAGCGGCGAAGGCGGCGCUCUGGGCCGGAACUGACGCUGAGGAGCGAAAGCGUGGGUAGCAAACAGGAUUAGAUACCCUGGUAGUCCACGCCGUAAACGUUGGGCACUAGGUGUGGGACCCUGUCAACGGGUUCCGUGCCGUAGCUAACGCAUUAAGUGCCCCGCCUGGGGAGUACGGCCGCAAGGCUA